GUCAUUGUUAAGGAGGCACAAUUAUAUUUACCUAACUAUUAAUGUAACAUCUAUAUUGAUUGUAUUGUCUGUAAUCAUAAUUGUUCUAAGUAAUCUUAAGUAAAAUAAACCUAAAAUAAAUAAAGAAAUAAACUCCAACCAAGACACUAUAGAAAUCGGGAUAAAAGAUUUACCAAAAUUGUGCACAACUCCAUCGAACGAGGACGCUUGAAUUUAAGGACGGAGGAGUUAACACAUAAUAAAUUAUCACAGUAGAAUCAUUAAAGCUUUAUCAGAUUCUGGGAAUCUCAAUUCAUACAAAUAAAACAGCUGAAUCCGAUUCGAAUAAUCAGCACGUUAAAUUAAACCUUUAAUAUUUCACACGUACAAAACAGCCACACAUGUAUCCGGUGUAACACUGCUAUUUACGCAAAAGCGCUGACCUUACGUAUUGCACUCACUGCAAUGAUCCGGUGACAUUAACCAACAAAAGUCGGUAAAACAACAAAAAAAAGAUAAGUGCUGGAUCCUUUUUAUGAAUUUGGAAACCGAAGAUAUGCCAGCCAAAUUCAUGGGAGCUAAUUACCCGCCAAUUUGGUGCUCUUAAUCGAACUGCGGAACUUAAGCUUAGCAGAGGUAAAUAUGGUACCUCCCAACGUUGUCAAUGUCAAUGUCUGCGAUAUCGAUAUUUUUAGCACAAAGAAAUAAUGUUAAAUUCACUAUGAGGAUAAAAUUAUCUUGAGCGUUCCACUGAAAAAUUAAAAUGAUUCGCAUAACAGUCGCUGCUACUAUCGAGACACAAAUAAGACCAACAAAAGAAAUUUACGAAAACUGCAUAGAGAGUGAGGAAAAGUAAGCCAGCUUUUCAUCCCUUCUCCGUACUGUUUGCUGGUUCAGAAGUUACAACGGGAGCACCUGGCGGGGAUAACUGAUUGAUUGAUAGAACUUAGCAUGACAAUUAUAUUAUACUACAAUUAUUAUAUUCGAUUGUCAUCUUGUGGAUCUGUAGAUGGAACGAAAUAAUAUAAAAAUUGCGAUUAAAA